rnacentral:rRNA from 1 species
CCUACGGGGUGCAGCAGUAGGGAAUAUUGCUCAAUGGGGGAAACCCUGAAGCAGCAACGCCGCGUGGAGGAUGAAGGUUUUAGGAUUGUAAACUCCUUUUGUUAGAGAAGAUUAUGACGGUAUCUAACGAAUAAGCACCGGCUAACUCCGUGCCAGCAGCCGCGGUACUACGGAGGGUGCAAGCGUUAUUCGGAAUCACUGGGCGUAAAGAGUGCGUAGGCGGGGUAAGAAGUCAGAUGUGAAAUCCUGUGGCUUAACUUCAGAACUGCAUUUGAAACUGUUACUCUGGAGUGUGGGAGAGGUAGGUGGAAUUCUUGGUGUAGGGGUAAAAUCCGUAGAGAUCAAGAGGAAUACGCAUUGCGAAGGCGACCUGCUGGAACAUUACUGACGCUGAGGCACGAAAGCGUGGGGAGCAAACAGGAUUAGAUACCCUAGUAGUC